CGGAUUGGUAGCUUAAGCCGAGUACUCUGUUCAGUUUUUCAAGCGGAAUGCUGUCACUCUGUUUAUAGUGAGGAAAAUGGCAAAAAGAAAUUUUAGUGGCAACGCUUGACAUCAAUGUCGCCAUCAUUUUUGUCUUAUUGGUUCCUGUGGUUCGUUUUUUCUUUUUGUUAGUUUAUUUAAUUGCGAAAAAAUAUAAAACCAUAAGUGCAGAUAAAAAACAUCUUUUGGUAUGAAAAUAAAAACGAAACAUAACCGUCAAUUAAAUAUUACGGCGACUAUUCCGAAUGUUUGUAUGUUUAUUUGAGUCUUCUUCUAUUUCGAUUGCAUGGCAUUGUGAUUAUCGAUUACUUAUUAUAACAUUUGAAACUAAUAUUGUCUCGUUCCAAUACACGGUAUUUAUAGAUACUAGCUACGCGCUUGAGGGUAUAGUGUCUACAUACGUUUGCGAAUAACAAACCAAAAUGAAAACAAAAAAGCUUGCUCUCGGCCUUUACUGUUACUUACAGGGCAAAGAGAGUCUGUUAAUAAUAAAAAAAAACUUCUCAGCAGAAAAUAUUGCACCCCCGGAUUGUUUAAUUAAAAAUAAAUUCUGAAUAACAUACAAAACUCAGUCUCAGAUAGCGCUAUGAAGUUAUUAAUUUAAAAGAUAAAUGAAAUAAAUUAAAAAAAUUCAAAUUUGAAUUCAGUCUCAAAAAAAAACUCAAGAAUACUGCGUUAAAAAGUAUACAACAACAACAAAAACACAACAAGCGCGAUAACCUUUUUGUCCGAGUUGGCAAAUUCAACUGAAGAUAUUCAACUCUCUUUAAAGCAAUCUUUAGCUUUCAUCAAGCACGAAGUGUUUUACUUGAACUUCGUUUAUUGAACUCAAAACACUUUCAGCAUACACAACCGCUGAACAGAAGCAAUAUGGAUGUAAAACCAAAUCGUCUUCACCAUACUUUGAAGCCAUGUUUCAUGCAUACCCUAAGUAAUAGAUUGCUGUGCAAGAGUAUGUUAAAACCAUAUUUUUUUUGUAAAUUUUUUAAAGAAUAUUGCAUUAUUAUAGUUUCAUGCCUACUUAUUGAGCAUUCAAAAUGCGCAUAAGUAUACUAGAACAUCUUCAUAUUGCUUCCAAGGCAUGAACAAUUUUUUGCUGGGUUAUAACCAGACAACGACGAUAUAACAGAUUAGUCGGUUAAUAAAAGUAGCUAAUAGCUAACAGUAUGUAUAGUUAAGUUUAUAUACACAUAACAUAUGUUUUGUUUCUAUCAGUAAGAAAGAAUAUGUAAGACGAAUUGAGCAAUGUUCGUGAUACGUUUUUAAGAAAAAUUGUAUAAAUAAU